rnacentral:rRNA from 1 species
CCCCUACGGGGCGCAGCAGUGGGGAAUAUUGCACAAUGGGGGAAACCCUGAUGCAGCAACGCCGCGUGAAGGAAGACGGUUUUCGGAUUGUAAACUUCUAUCAAUAGGGAAGAAAGAAAUGACGGUACCUAAAUAAGAAGCCCCGGCUAACUACGCGCCAGCAGCCGCGGUAAUACGUAGGGGGCAAGCGUUAUCCGGAUUCACUGGGCGUAAAGGGAGCGCAGGCGGCAUGGCAAGUCUGAUGUGAAAACCCGGGGCCCAACCCCGGGAGUGCAUUGGAAACUGCCAGGCUGGAGUGUCGGAGG